rnacentral:rRNA from 1 species
CGCACGGGUGCGUAACGCGUAUGCAACCUACCAUCAACAGGGGGGAUAACACUGAGAAAUUGGUACUAAUACCCCAUAAUAUCUCAUGCGGCAUCGCAUGGGGUUGAAAACUCCGGUGGUUGAUGAUGGGCAUGCGUUGUAUUAGCUGGGUUGGUGAGGUAACGGCUCACCAAGGCGACGAUACAUACGGGGGACUGAGAGGUUAAACCCCCCACAUUGGUACUGAGACACGGACCAAACUCCUACGGGAGGCAGCAG